CUGGAGGCGGAGACCGAGAGGCCGCUCUAGGUCAGCCUCUACUUUCCUUUGACUGGCUCUCUGCGCUUGGUGGCUGCCAAGCAUCUUUCAGCCUCCCGAGGGGCCUGCCUGGUCUCUGCUCCUCACGCCUUUCCCAGCUGACCGAGGACAGUCUUCGCUGGCCACAGGCUCCUGAGCUUUCCUUCCUGGCUGCCUUUGUGGAGCAGAGUCACUUGCUAAUAGUGUAUCAGGAGUCACAUGGGACUCUCCCAAGGACAGCCAAGUGCCCUCAGCCCUCUGCUUCUCACCCUGGGAUGGUCACCUGACUGUCCUGCUGGCCCGUCGCCUGGCUUACCCCUGUCCUGGCUGAAUGUGCAGAGCCAAGCCUCCCUUGCUAUGUGGGAACAGGGCCAGCUGCGUCCCCAACCUGGCCGCACACUGAGGAACCCAAGGGCCUCUCCCUGGGGAGGAAGGAGGAGCCGCACCCGGGGGAAGGCAGAUUCUGGCUUCUCGCUGUCCAGGAGAGGAAGACAUGGUAAAGUUGGCGUCCCCAACCUGGCCGCAAGUAGGCAGUGGCCAGAAUGAUACCAGCACCGUCUCAGCUUGUGGCCGGAACCCUGCGCUUGAAUGGCGCCUCCUCUGGAAACGAAGCCCCUCACGGUAGAAUCAAUAGGCAAAGUCCCUGCUGAAACUGCCACGGGGGGAUGUCCCGGUACGCUUACACCCUGGCCGCCCUUCCUCAGUUUCUCCUGAUGUCACUGUGAUAGAAGCUGCCCAGCCUCCUGGGCCCAGUGUGGGUCUCAGAACAGGCCCUCGGCUGGGCACUUGUCUAAGGAAGUCCUCAGAGGUCUGCCACCAAAGCAGCCCGUCCUGCAGCACCCGGGUCUCCUGGCGUCUCCCGAGUUGCCCAAAGCAUUCCGACUUUGUGUUCAGUGGCUUGGGCAUCUUGAGGUCCGACUGUUAAGGUCUGCUCGUCCCCCGGGGUGCUAGGUGAGAUGAGGACGGUGCUAGUCACUUGGGUUAUCUCUGCAGAACAGAAGAGUGACUCAGUGGACACUGUGUUCUGCAGCUGCUGUUGGGCUGCCCGGCCUCCUCCUCCCUCCAUGCCUGUCCCUGCAGGGUCUGUGCUGGCCGGGGACCUGGUGGCCGUCUCACCAGCUAGGCUGAAAAGCAUCUGACUCGUACGUGCUGGUGGUGCGGCCCGAGCCAGUCCUGGACUUGGCUGCUCACAGCCAGCCCCUCCCCACAGUCCUGGUCUUUGCAGACCCCAGUGUGGCUUUAGCUAAGGCUGCAGCAGUGGCUGGUGGCAUCAAGUACCUUAAAAACUGCUGGGAGAGGUGGCCUGGCUUGCUUUUUAAAUACUCAUGAAAUCCAUCACUUUGAAGUGUCCAAUCCAGUGACAUUAGUGCAUUCACAGUGUUCGGUGACCAUCAGUUUUGUCUAGAUCCAGAACUUUUCCUUGGCCUCAAUGGAAAGCCGGGACCCAUUGGCAGUCCCGCCUACUCCCCCACCACAGCCCUGUCCGCCACUCAUCUGCUUUGUGUCUGUGCGGAUUUUUCUCUUCUGGUUUUUAUAAUAAUAGAUGGGGUCAUGUUAUAUGUGGCCUCAUGCUAUGUCCAGGGUUCACCUGUGUUGUAGCGUGUCAGGGUUCUGUUUCUGUCGUGUCUGAAUGACACUCCGCUGUGUGGAGGGGCCCUAUUUUGAGCUCCUUCCAUUGCUGAACAUUUGGGCUAUUUUCACCUUUGGGCUGUGAAUAAUCCCUUUGUGCGUGGCCUUGUGCGUGUUGGGGUGGACAUCUGUUUUCAGUUCUUUUGGGUCCAUGCCCAGGAGUGAGAUUGCUGGGUCCCAGGGUGACUCUCUGUAGCCUAUGGAGGAGCCGCCAGGCUGUUCUUCACAGAGGCCGGAGCAUUUCACCUCCUCAUCAGUGGCACACGAGGGGAGGUGGUGGCUUUUGCAGCCGUGCGUGCUAGCACUAACUUGAUGCCACCAGCCACUGCUGCAGCCUUAGAUAAAGCCACACUGGAGUCUGCAAAGCCCAGGACUGUGUGGCUAGCACUAAAGCAGUUACCUGGCGUGAGCCUCCAUGGGAGGGUGGCUGGGACUUGUGGCCUAAGGAGUCUGCAGGGAGGGGACACAGGGUCUGAGAACUCAGCUGGAGUCAGAGAGUUGCUGAACAGUGCAGGGCCCAGUCCCCAGGUGCCUGAGCCCCCUCCAGUUUGGGGGGAGUGGGAUGGGAAGGCAGGUGACCUGCAUGGAGACGGCUUUGAGGUGGCUUGGACGGCGAUCCAGGUGCUACCGUGGGUGUCGGGUGUUUGACCCUGAGCCCGGGUGGCAGCAGAGAGUCCUCCCCAGAUGGAGGAGGAGAGCCCAGAGGGAGGAAAACGCCCACAGGGGUGAGGGUAGUUCACGGGGCUCCAGAAUGGCGCUGCCGGGUCCUAACCCCAUGCGAGGCCCUGCCCUGAAGCCAAGGCAGCUCGUUGUUCCCACGUGGGCCUCCGUGCAGAAUUAAGUGCUCCAAACUACCCUUGAAGAUCUCUCACUUGGUACAAAAGCCAAGAUUUAGCUGCUCCUGUUUGCUUUUUAUUGGAGACUUCUUUUCUUCUAGAAGCCAAGGUCUAGUUUGAGUGGAAAAGGAGUAAUGGAGAAUCCAGAGGUUUGGCACAGGGCUGAAUCGCCUCUGUGUGCCCUGGGAUUAGGGUGAGGGUUGGUGUGUGUUGGGGAGGACCUGACGGGCUGGCGGCAGAGCCUCCGGGUCUGAGAAGGGCUGCGGGGCUGUCCUCUUAUCUAUUGCUUGACUAGCUCCUGUGGAGACCGGGAGCCAGGCCACCAAGAACCCACAGCAGCCCCAGCUCCACACAGCGACGCCGGGGUGGGCAUCUGUCAAUGCACCAAGCUCUGGGAGCCCAGCCUGCACCUGGCAAAGGUCUCCUUGGAGGCACAUGAGCCGAGUCACUGCCACCCCGCUCUGGAUGGACAUGAGAUGGAUCUGUUUUCCCCGGUCUGCUGAGGCCAUCUUGACCCCUGGCUGUGCCCCCAUCUGUCCAUGCCCCUUUCUGGGUAGCAGCUUCCCAAAGAGACGAGCCCUCAUCCGAACUCUGCUCACAUUUCUGAGUCCAGCUUGGGUUCUGAUGAGGCCCAGUGAGCGUCUCCUGCUGCAGCCCCAGCUCUCGGCAAAUGGCACGUCCCAGGAAGGAGCCCAGGCCAUCUUGAUUCGAGUUUUCCCCUGGAAGCGUAGAAAGUGUGCCUUCCUGCACCGCCUGGCACUCGCCACUCACGAGCUCUCAAGUCUCAGAACUCUUGGCACUGCUUCUCUGCAGAAAGUGCAGGCUGAAUAGGUCUCCUGAAGGUGCUUUGUGAUUUCCACCAGAGACGAGGAUUGCUGUGGCCCUGGCUCAGCCUGGGCUGGGACCUUAUGGAACUUACAAGAUUGACAAGAACCCAAGGGAGCUCACCAGCUCUACCCAGUCAGUGCUACGUGCUCCCAUGCUGAGGCCUGCUGGGGACGCACCGGCUCUGCAGGCCACCGCCGCUCCUGACCAUGGCUCCAGGGUUGUUCUGAGCUUAUCUCAGGGUCUGUGUUGGGAGCUCAUGACCUCUCUCCAGAGAGACCAGGUCAGACGUUGCCUGCUUAACUCUGGCCUCUCCAGGCCUGAGUCUCGACCCCAGCAAGAGACACCUAACUCUGUUGGGGACAAUAUGGAACUUAUCUUCGAUAUAUUAUGCUCUGAAUUCUCUCUCCCUGCUGUUUUAGGCUUUGAUAAAUCUACCGAACGUGGAUGUAUAAGUGGCUGUUAGAGAGUUAGAUGUCCCUUUUUUGCUCCUGGCUUACACAAGUAAAUAUCAAUUUAGUCCUUAUGGAAGGAAAAUAAAGGAGACUUGGUUGUCUCCUUAAUCCACAAACCCUAUAAUUCUCACCUGGAAAAUCUGGCUCUCCUAUUUCAAAUCAGUUUUAAUGGCAAAGGCUGAAGAGAGGCUUUAUUGCUCUUAUCUGAACUUAUUUUUAAACUCGUCUCUUUACUUGUUCAUUCGCUAAAUAAGAUCCCCCUCAAGGAGAACGAGAGGGGGUGGGCUUGGGAGGAAGUUUGGGGACAAGUGGACGGGAAGCUUGGGGUUGGAGAGAUUCCCACCCAGCGGAGACCAGAAUGGGGUUGGGGGUGGCCACAGCUGAAUUCUAGAAGCUUCCUCCUGUCCUUUCUUCCUUCUCAGAGGGGAAGCGGAUGGACUGACCCUUGCUAGAGACGUGACAGGGAGCAACUCAGCUGCCCAGAAAGACGACAGCCUGCCCAGGGGAGCUUGCCUGGCUCUUGGGUUGUUCUUUAAGCCAUUCCGGGGGCCUGGGACAGUGGCUAUGGGCUGCUUACGCCCCAUAAGUGGAAGCUGGGCAGGGUCCUGUCCCACUUUAUCCUCCUGAUUUGUGAGCAGCCCUCCCAGCAGGAGGCAGAGGGCAGCCCGGCACCCUGGACCCGCACCCCUCAAAGAGACGUCUGGCCCUUCCUGUGUCCUGGUCUGUCCCGCAGGGGACACCCUCUUCUCACAGGGAAAUGCCCUCCUCAGCAGAGGCUCGUGGUGCCUGGCCAGCUGCUCAUUCUUUAGCCACCAUCAGACCUUGUGGCCUUAAGUGGGCAUUGUGGUCACCACUCUGGAGUGACCGGAGGUCACAUAUCAAAAAGAAAUCAUCACGUUCCUCAUGGGGACAGAUGUCUUCAGGUGUUUCCUCAGACAGGUGGGCUGUGGGGUUGAGAAAAGUCACCAAGUCCUGCUCCACCUGAGGCGUUUAGGAACAUGGUCCCCCGUUAAUGUGACAGUUGCCCAUUAGGGGGGAAGGGAGACCCUGCUGCCUGCCCGGCGAAUCCCACCUGAGCAGGGUCCGGGGAGGAGUCUGGGGACCCCGCAGGCCUAGCUGGUGGCCCUGCUGUGUCCACUGGCACCAAAUGUGUUUUCUUUGUGACUGGGCGGGUCCCGGCUCCUCCCCCUCCUCCAGGUCUGACCGGCUGACCCUGACCGCCAGGCACUCCCCGAGGCUGCUCGGGGGACACUCUUCUCCCGGGGUCUGAGCAGCGGGGCCUUAGCCCUGUGUGGCCCAGCAGAGGCCUCCCUGACUGGAGGUCCAGGCCGCACCAGGGACCCUGCUCAGGACAGCUGCUGCCAUCCUGGUGGCUGUUGGGAAACAAAUGGCUUCUCCGAGUGACUCUGGGACUCGUACUGCUCACUGCCAAGGAAGUCUGCUCUGAGCAGUGCACUCGCUCCCUCCUGGGAAGUGAGACUCUGCUAAUGGGCUCUCAGGUUCUGAUCCAGCUGGCACCCGGCUGCUCCCACCCCCAGGCUGGACGGCCCCCAGCACCUACUCGGGCACGGGGCUGAGCUGCUGGCAGCUCGUGGCCCACGGCUGCUCUGCCAAGACCGCGCCCGCUGCCUGCCUCCAGCCUCGUCACCCUUUCCCCUGCCCUGGCGGGCCUUGUCACGAGGCUGUUCCUCUGACCCAGAGCCGGGGCCACCCACCGGCCUGCAGCGGAAGUCACUUAGCCACAGCCUCAGUCUCUUUUCCUGCACAGUGGGUGACAGCAGGACCCUUGGGGUUGGUGUUUACACAGAAUGCCUGGCACAUAGUGGGCGUUUAAUAAAGGUCAGUUUCUGUGGUCA